AUUGAACGCUGGCGGCAUGCCUUACACAUGCAAGUCGAACGGCAGCACGGGAGCAAUCCUGGUGGCGAGUGGCGAACGGGUGAGUAAUAUAUCGGAACGUGCCCAGUCGUGGGGAUAACGUAGCGAAAGCUACGCUAAUACCGCAUACGAUCUAUGGAUGAAAGCGGGGGAUCGCAAGACCUCGCGCGAUUGGAGCGGCCGAUAUCAGAUUAGGUAGUUGGUGAGGUAAAGGCUCACCAAGCCGACGAUCUGUAGCUGGUCUGAGAGGACGACCAGCCACACUAGGACUGAGACACGGCCCAGACUCCUACGGGAGCAGCAGUGGGGAAUUUUGGACAAUGGGCGCAAGCCUGAUCCAGCAAUGCCGCGUGCAGGAUGAAAGGCCUUCGGGUUGUAACUAGCUUUGUUACGGAACGAACGGUGAGCUCUAAUACAGUUGCUAAUGACGGUACCGUAAGAAUAAGAC
rnacentral:rRNA from 1 species